rnacentral:rRNA from 1 species
ACGAACGCUGGCGGCAGGCCUAACACAUGCAAGUCGAGCGCCCCGCAAGGGGAGCGGCGGACGGGUGAGUAACACGUGGGAAUUUUCCUCAAGGUACGGAACAACUCAGGGAAACUUGGGCUAAUACCGUAUGAUGCAGAGAUGCCAAAGAUUUAUCGCCUUGGGAUAAGCCCGCGUCAGAUUAGGUAGUUGGUGAGGUAACGGCUCACCAAGCCUGUGAUCUGUAGCUGGUCUGAGAGGACGAUCAGCCACAUUGGGACUGAGACACGGCCCAAACUCCUACGGGAGGCAGCAGUGGGGAAUCUUGCGCAAUGGGCGAAAGCCUGACGCAGCCAUGCCGCGUGAAUGAUGAAGGUCUUAGGAUUGUAAAGUUCUUUCGCCUGUGACGAUGAUGACGGUAACAGGAGAAGAAGCCCCGGCUAACUUCGU